GGCCGGGUGGUGUAGUUGGUUAUUCACAUCUCGUUAACAAUCCAAUUGAAUUGAAUACCGAGAAGGUCCUGAGUUCGAGCCUCAGCCUGGUCA